UACAGAGGGUGCGAGCGUUGUCCGGAAUCACUGGGCGUAAAGGGCGCGUAGGCGGCCUGAUAAGUCGGGGGUGAAAUCCUGUGGCUUAACCACAGGGCUGCCUCCGAGACUGUCGGGCUCGAGCACAGUAGGGGCAGGUGGAAUUCCCGGUGUAGCGGUGGAAUGCGUAGAGAUCGGGAAGAACAUCGGUGGCGAAGGCGGCCUGCUGGGCUCUUGCUGACACUGAGGCGCGACAGCGUGGGGAGCAAACAGG
rnacentral:rRNA from 1 species